GGUUGCAACAUCCCCGUGGGUUGGCGUUCCGACGUAUAUAUCGGCGGAACGUAGCGCAUCCACUGCAACC
rnacentral:sRNA from 1 species